rnacentral:rRNA from 1 species
GCAGGCGCGCAAAUUACCCAAUCUUGACACAAGGAGGUAGUGACAAUAAAUAACAAUACCGGGGUUUUUCAACUCUGGUAAUUGGAAUGAGUACAAUCUAAACCCCUUAACGAGGAUCAAUUGGAGGGCAAGUCUGGUGCCAGCAGCCGCGGUAAUUCCAGCUCCAAUAGCGUAUAUUUAAGUUGUUGCAGUUAAAAAGCUCGUAGUUGGAUUUCGGGCGGGCCCGGCCGGUCCGCCUCACGGUGUGCACUGACCGGGCCCGUCCUGCUGCCGGGGACGGGCUCCUGGGCUUCACUGUCCGGGACUCGGAGUCGGCGAGGUUACUUUGAGUAAAUUAGAGUGUUCAAAGCAGGCAUCCGCCUUGAAUACGUUAGCAUGGAAUAACACGAUAGGACUCUGGCCUAUCUUGUUGGUCUGUGGGACCGGAGUAAUGAUUAAGAGGGACAGUCGGGGGCAUUCGUAUUUCAUUGUCAGAGGUGAAAUUCUUGGAUUUAUGAAAGACGAACUACUGCGAAAGCAUUUGCC